UGGUGGAGUGAUUUGUCUGGUUAAUUCCGAUAACGCACGAGACCCCCUCCUACUUACGAGGGACAACUGGCGUCGAUCCAGUUACAUGAAAUGGGGCAAUAACA
rnacentral:rRNA from 1 species